rnacentral:rRNA from 1 species
CCUACGGGCGGCUGCAGUGGGGAAUAUUGGACAAUGGGGGCAACCCUGAUCCAGCCAUGCCGCGUGUGUGAAGAAGGCCCUCGGGUUGUAAAGCACUUUCAGUGAGGAAGAACGCCUGGUGGUUAAUACCCAUCAGGAAAGACAUCACUCACAGAAGAAGCACCGGCUAACUCCGUGCCAGCAGCCGCGGUAAUACGGAGGGUGCGAGCGUUAAUCGGAAUUACUGGGCGUAAAGCGCGCGUAGGUGGCUUGAUAAGCCGGUUGUGAAAGCCCCGGGAUCAACCUGGGAACGGCAUCCGGAACUGUCAAGCUAGAGUGCAGGAGAGGAAGGUAGAAUUCCCGGUGUAGCGGUGAAAUGCGUAGAGAUCGGGAGGAAUACCAGUGGCGAAGGCGGCCUUCUGGACUGACACUGACACUGAGGUGCGAAAGCGUGGGUAGCAAACAGGAUUAGAUACCCUAGUAGUC